rnacentral:tRNA from 1 species
UCCCUGGUGGCUCAGAUGGUAAAGAAUCUGCCUGCGAUGCAGGAGACUCGGGUUCGAUCCCUGGGUUGGGAA